rnacentral:rRNA from 1 species
AACGAACGCUGGCGGCAGGCCUAACACAUGCAAGUCGAGCGAGGACUUCGGUUCUAGUGGCGGACGGGUGAGUAACGCGUGGGAAUGUGCCCUUCUCUACGGAAUAGCCCUGGGAAACUGGGAGUAAUACCGUAUACGCCCUAUUGGGGAAAGAUUUAUCGGAGAAGGAUCAGCCCGCGUUUGAUUAGGUAGUUGGUUGGGUAAUGGCCUACCAAGCCGACGAUCCAUAGCUGGUUUGAGAGGAUGAUCAGCCACACUGGGACUGAGACACGGCCCCGACUCCUACGGGAGGCAGCAGUGGGGAAUCUUAGACAAUGGGGGCAACCCUGAUCCAGCCAUGCCGCGUGAGUGAUGAAGGCCUUAGGGUUGUAAAGCUCUUUCAGCUGGGAAGAUAAUGACGGUACCAGCAGAAGAAGCCCCGGCUAACUCCGUG